UACAGAGGUCCCAAGCGUUGUUCGGAUUCACUGGGCGUAAAGGGUGCGUAGGCGGUCGGGUAAGUCUGAUGUGAAAUCUCACAGCUUAACUGUGAAACUGCAUUGGAUACUAUCCGGCUCGAGGAAUGGAGGGGAGACUGGAAUACUCGGUGUAGCAGUGAAAUGCGUAGAUAUCAAGUGGAACACCAGUGGCGAAGGCGAGUCUCUGGACAUUUCCUGACGCUGAGGCACGAAAGCCAGGGGAGCAAACGGG
rnacentral:rRNA from 1 species